UACGAAGGGGGCGAGCGUUGUUCGGAAUCAUUGGGCGUAAAGGGCGCGUAGGCGGGGUUGUAAGUCGAUUGUGAAAUCCCUGGGCUUAACCCGGGAAUUGCAGUCGAAACUGCAAGUCUUGAGUUCUCGAGAGGAUGGUGGAAUUCCAGGUGUAGUGGUGAAAUACGUAGAUAUCUGGAGGAAUACCGGUGGCGAAGGCGGCUCCCUGGUCCUACAUUGACGCUGAGGAGCGAAAGCGUGGGGAGCGAACAGG
rnacentral:rRNA from 1 species